rnacentral:rRNA from 1 species
AUUGAACGCUGGCGGCAGGCCUAACACAUGCAAGUCGAGCGGCAGCGGGAAAGUAGCUUGCUACUUUUGCCGGCGAGCGGCGGACGGGUGAGUAAUGCCUGGGGAUCUGCCCAGUCGAGGGGGAUAACUACUGGAAACGGUAGCUAAUACCGCAUACGCCCUACGGGGGAAAGCAGGGGACCUUCGGGCCUUGCGCGAUUGGAUGAACCCAGGGGGGAUUAGGUAGUUGGUGAGGUAACGGCUCACCAAGGCGACGAUCCCUAGCUGGUCUGAGAGGAUGAUCAGCCACACUGGAACUGAGACACGGUCCAGACUCCUACGGGAGGCAGCAGUGGGGAAUAUUGCACAAUGGGGGAAACCCUGAUGCAGCCAUGCCGCGUGUGUGAAGAAGGCCUUCGGGUUGUAAAGCACUUUCAGCGAGGAGGAAAGGUUGGUAGCUAAUAACUGCCAGCUGUGACGUUACUCGCAGAAGAAGCACCGGCUAACUCCGUGCCAGCCGCCGCCGUAAAAC